rnacentral:rRNA from 1 species
AAAGAGCUCGUAGGCGGUUUGUCGCGUCUGCUGUGAAAACGCGAGGCUCAACCUCGCGCCUGCAGUGGGUACGGGCAAACUAGAGUGCGGUAGGGGAGAUGGGAAUUCCUGGUGUAGCGGUGGAAUGCGCAGAUAUCAGGAGGAACACCAAUGGCGAAGGCACAUCUCUGGGCCGUAACUGACGCUGAGGAGCGAAAGCGUGGGGAGCAAACAGGAUUAGAUACCCCUGU